CUCUUUGGCAAGCAACGAGUAUGCGCAAUAUUUCCCAGAGUGAGUGGGUGAUAAGCAUGUGUUUUGACUAGUUGUUCACACUAGCCACAUGACACCCAAGGCCAUGUACACUUGACAGAUGUUUGGUUCCAACUCAGAGGAGGAGUGAGGACUAUACCGGCAUGCAACGCGGUCGGGCGCGGUUUUUUACAUAUUACCGAUUUCUCGCUCUGCGCCGUCAUUGUUCGGUCGGCUCUCGCUGUGUUUACACCUCGAGGAUUCGAGCGAUUCGGAAAGAUUUAUAGAAAAAAAAUUGUAAAAUGGUGAAUUUUUGCACUAUUCGUGGAAAGAAAGCUUCGUUUUUGGGUGGACACGAGCUUCUGUUUGUUCACUGUGUGUCAAAACAGCCACUAAUCUUGAAUCCGGAAGGACUACCGUGUGAUGAACUUGAAAUGUCGCGAGGUUCAUGUUUAUAUAGUUUUACGGAAUACAGAUAGUUUGAAGAAUAGUCCUUUGUCAAGCUGUGGUUAACGGGAUAAAAAUUGAUGAAAUUGUUCCCUGAUUGCGGUAAUCCUGCACUGGUACAAAUUCACUCUAGUUGUGUUUUUAAGGUAAGAUGAUUUAUAUAAAAUAGAAAUAUAAAAAUGCUCUCGUACUGUAUAAAUUAUAUAAAAUACAGCAUCUAUGAUGUAAUUCUCGAUGUGAUUGAUAUAUUUCGCUUAAAAUUGUUGUAAUACAGCAGUAUUAAACGUAUUUUUAUUUCAUAUCAUGUAGUUCUUCGACCCUAAUGAUCCACACCGAAUGAUGGAAGAAGCGCCCAGCGGUAGCAGUGUUGAUGGUGAAACUGAACUGGAGGGGCAGUGAAUGUAGAGAAUGAAAUGGAGGAAAUUCAGCACUAUCACAACACUAUAUAUAUAUGUCUUCACUACUGUGUGAUGCAUUGCAAGGAUUUAUACUGAUCAACCAGUUAUUUAUGCUCAAAUGAUCAACCAGUUGUCUAUUAUUUUACUCUGCCUAACACCAGAUUAUUUUACUGUUUAACACUAGACUCAUUACUCAUCAGGGGGAGAGUGCUACCACUCAAUGGGUUAAAAAAACAUUCAAACAAAAUGUUUGGCAGAAGAUGCAAAAUUGUUUAUUGGUGUCUGGUGUGAUACUGAUAUUUCUUUUAUCUGUAAGGAUAGACCUGGGGAGCUUCUAGUAGUACAGUCUUGUUUUCCUGUACUGCAUGUGUUUUCCUCACUUCCCUGAUUAUACCAUAAGUAUUGUAUCCCAUGGACACCAUCUUAUCAGUUCUGCAGUUUUUUGACAAUCUACCGUAAACCUCUGACUAUAGUAUAAGCCCUGGGCUUAUAUUCUUUCGUAAACGAUUUUUGAUGGGCUUACACAAGGGGGCUUAUACAUGGACAAUCUUUUGUGUUAGUAAUAAACAAGUCAGUCAUAAACAGGAAAAUAAACAUGUAUUAAUAACACACUUUGAUUAACAUAGUAACCUAUAAAGACAAUGAGGGGGGCUUAUAUUCAGGGUGGGGCUUAUAUUUGGAAUGAGGUGAGCGUUAGUACAUGUGGUGGGCUUAUACAUGGGGAGGGGGGC
rnacentral:lncRNA from 1 species